CUCCGGUUGAUCCCGCCGGACCUGACUGCUAUCGGAUUGGUACUAAGCCAUGCGAGUCAUUGUAGCAAUACAAGGCGGACGGCUCAGUAACACGUAGUCAACCUAACUCGUGGACGUGGAUAACCUCGGGAAACUGAGAAUAAACCACGAUAGAUCAUAGUGCCUGGAAUGGCUUAUGGUCCAAACAGUUUACUGCCAUGGGAUGGGACUGCGGCCUAUCAGCUUGUUGGUGAGGUAAUGGCCCACCAAGGCGAUUACAGGUACGGGCUCUGAGAGGAGAAGCCCGGAGAUGGGUACUGAGACACGGACCCAGGCCCUAUGGGGCGCAGCAGGCGAGAAACCUUAGCAAUGUGCGAAAGCACGACUGGGUCAGUCCGAGUGAUUCCUGAUAAAGGAGUCUUUUGCUUGUCCUAAAAGCACAGGUGAAUAAGGGGUGGGCAAGUCUGGUGUCAGCCGCCGCGGUAAUACCAGCACCCCGAGUGGUCAGGACGUUUAUUGGGCCUAAAGCAUCCGUAGCCGGCUCUGCAAGUCUUCGGUUAAAUCCACCUGCUCAACAGAUGGGCUGCUGGAGAUACUACAGAGCUAGGGAGUGGGAGAGGCAGACGGUAUUCAGUGGGUAGGGGUAAAAUCCUCUGAUCCAUUGAGGACCACCAGUGGCGAAGGCGGUCUGCCAGAACACGUUCGACGGUGAGGGAUGAAAGCUGGGGGAGCAAACCGGAUUAGAUACCCGGGUAGUCCCAGCUGUAAACGAUGCAAACUCGGUGAUGCAUUGGCUUAUGGCCAAUGCAGUGCCGCAGGGAAGCCGUUAAGUCUGCCGCCUGGGAAGUACGGACGCAAGUCUGAAACUUAAAGGAAUUGGCGGGGGAGCA
rnacentral:rRNA from 1 species